AUUGAACGCUGGCGGCAGGCCUAACACAUGCAAGUCGAGCGGAUGAAGGGAGCUUGCUCCUGGAUUCAGCGGCGGACGGGUGAGUAAUGCCUAGGAAUCUGCCUGGUAGUGGGGGAUAACGUCCGGAAACGGGCGCUAAUACCGCAUACGUCCUGAGGGAGAAAGUGGGGGAUCUUCGGACCUCACGCUAUCAGAUGAGCCUAGGCCGGAUUAGCUAGUUGGUGGGGUAAAGGCCUACCAAGGCGACGAUCCGUAACUGGUCUGAGAGGAUGAUCAGUCACACUGGAACUGAGACACGGUCCAGACUCCUACGGGAGGCAGCAGUGGGGAAUAUUGGACAAUGGGCGAAAGCCUGAUCCAGCCAUGCCGCGUGUGUGAAGAAGGUCUUCGGAUUGUAAAGCACUUUAAGUUGGGAGGAAAGGCAGUAAGUUAAUACCUUGCUGUUUUGACGUUACCAACAGAAUAAGCACCGGCUAACUUCGUG
rnacentral:rRNA from 1 species